rnacentral:rRNA from 1 species
UUCCGGUUGAUCCUGCCAGACCUUACUGCUAUCGGGAUAGGACUAAGACAUGUUAGUCGCGCGUCUCCCAGCCAUGAAAGAGACGCGGCACACGGCUCAGUAACAUGUGGCUAACCUGCCCUUAGGACAGAGACAACCCCGGGAAACUGGGGCUAAUCUCUGAUAGGUGUGGAAUUCUGGAAUGAAUCUACACCCAAAAGACGUCUGAAUCAUGCUUUAGACAUUGCCUAAGGAUGGGGCCGCAGCCGAUCAGGUUGUUGGUGAGGUAACGGCUCACCAAGCCUAUAACCGGUACAGGCCGCGGGAGCGGUAGCCCGGAGAUGGACACUGAGAUAAGGGUCCAGGCCCUACGGGGCGCAGCAGUCGCGAAAACUCCACAAUGCGCGAAAGCGCGAUGGGGCUAUCCCGAGUGCCAUCCGCUGAAGAUGGCUUUUCUCCAGUGUAAGGAGCCGGAAGAGUAAGGAGAGGGCAAGACUGGUGUCAGCCGCCGCGGUAAUACCAGCUCUCCGAGUGGGUAGGGAAUGUUUAUUGGGCCUAAAGCGUCCGUAGCUGGCUCAUCAAGUCCUCCGUUAAAUCCAGCGAUUCAAUCGUUGGGCUGCGGGGGAUACUGUUGGGCUAGGGGACGGGAGAGGCCGACGGUAUUCCCGGAGUAGGGGUGAAAUCCUAUAAUUCCGGGAGGACCACCAGUGGCGAAAGCUGUCNGCUAGAACGAGCUCGACGGUGAGNGACGAAAGCUGGGGGAGCGAACCGGAUUAGAUACCCGGGUAGUCCNAGCCGUNAACGAUGCGGGCUAGGUNGUUAGGGUGGCUACGAGCCACUCUAGUGCCGCAGCGAAGGCAUUAAGCCCGCCGCCUGGGGNAGUACGGCCGCANGGCUGAAACUNAAAGGAAUNGGCGGGGGAGCACCACAAGGCGUGAAGCGUGCGGUUUAAUUGGAGUCAACACCCGAAACCUUACCGGGGGCGACAGCAGGUUGAAGGCCAGAUUGACGAUCUUGCCAGACAAGCUGAGAGGAGGUGCAUGGCCGUCGCCAGUUCGUGCCGUGAGGUGUCCUGUUAAGUCAGGCAACGAUCGAGACCCACGUUCCCUGUUCCUACCAAAGAAAGUUUCCAAGGGGCACACUGGGAGGACAGCCGCCGAUAAGGCGGAGGAAGGAGUGGGCCACGGCAGGUCAGUAUGCCCCGAAUCCCCCGGGCCACACGCGUGCUGCAAUGGCCGGUACAAUGGGUUCCGACCUCGUGAGAGGAGGGUAAUCCCUAAAGCCGAUCGUAGUUUGGAUCGCGGGCUGCAACCCGCCCUCGUGAAACUGGAAUGCCUAGUAAUCGCGUGUCAUUAACGCGCGGUGAAUACGUCCCUGCUCCUUGCACACACCGCCCGUCGUUCCACUCGAGUGGGUCUUGGGUGAGGCGCGGUCCUUGGUGCCUGUGUCGAGCCUGCGGUUCGCGAGAGGGGAAAAGUCGUAACAACGGUAACC